UUGGAGCCUGUUGUGACUGUCACAGUAAGGAGUUUGAAGUCCUGAAAGCAGUUGAGAGCUGUAGGAGGGCCAGAUUGGGCUUUUGAGCAAGAUAGUCUAGAUGAAAGUAAAGAGAUGGAGACGCUUCAGCAACCAGAUGGGAGGUUGGGCAUGGGAGCUGUGGCUGUGCUGAGCUGAGAAGCCUCAGACUGCCUGCGAGGCUCUCUCUGGGAGGAAGUCAGGUCUUUCUUUCCUUCGUUUCCUUCCUUUCAUUCCUUUCCUUUCCUUCCUUUUUCCUCUUUCUUUCUUUCCUUUUCUCUCUCUCUCUUUUUCUUUCUCUCUUUCUUUCGAGAUGGAGUCUCGCUCUGUUGCCAGGCUGGAGUGCAGUGGCAUGAUCUCGGCUCACUGCAAUCUCUGCCUCCCGGGUUCAAGGGAUUCUCCUGCCUCAGCCUCCCUAGUAGCUGGGAUUAAAGGCACGCACUGCCACGCCCGGCUAAUUUUUGUAUUUUUAAUAGCGACAGGGUUUCACCGUGUUGGCCAGGAUGGUCUCGAUCUCCUGACCUCAUGAUCCACCUGCCUCGGCCUCCGAAAGUGCUGGGAUUACAGGCGUGAGCCACCGUGCCCAGCCAGGUCUUUUUCUUAAAGAGGGACAGACUGAAGGUAGGCUGUGAAUGGUCAGUUAUUUGUAUUUCUUUACCUUUUAUGCUAUCUUGUAGUUUGACCAGUUUGCAAAACAAAUUGAAUAAAAAGUAAUUGAUAAUGUUGUUUUGAUGCUCAGUGUUUGAGGGAAACACAAUCUAGUGAAUGGGGUUAUUGGUUGUCACACCUGGGAGAGUGAAAAUGAGGGGCUCACAACCCAGGUGAGGUCAUCUGGUGCCACUCAGCCCCAUCCCAGAGAAAGCAGCCUUGGGAUGCUGGCCUCGGUGACAACCAAGAAGUGAUGGUGGGUUGCUAGAGACAGGGUGGAGCACAGAGCCCUGGAAGGAAGCAGGAAGUCAGGUUCAAGAAAGGACUUGUGACCUCACCCUUGGCUUCAGGGUUUUAUUUUUCUUUCUUUUAAAACAUUUUGAGACAACAUGUAGACAUUCAAACUUACAGAACAAAGAACUAUUUUUUCCCUGAAUCAUUUGAGACUAAGUUCCCUCCUAUCACCAGACAUUUCUACAAAUGAGGACCUUCACAGGACUAAGGUGCCACCAUCAGAACCACAAUAUGUGGGGACGGUACUGCCAGCUAAGCCUUAGUGCUGUUUCGGUGUUGACAGCUGUCACAAUGAUGCCCUUUUCAGUAGAGGAGCCUGUGAUGGUCACGUGUUGCAGGUGAUCAUUGUGCCAUUUGGUUUACUUCUGUCUGGAAAGUUUCUCCUUUCUGUAACCUCCAUGACCUUGACACAUGAGGUCACUCUUCUCACCCGCCCCACCUCUGGGAGGGUGCCUGAUUUGCCCUGCCCCACCCAGCGGCUUUAGGACUCAGCUCUUCAGGAACAAUUAGGGAGAGGGCCCUUGGGUCUAACUGCAAAAUCAUACUUGAACUAGAAAAUCCCGUUGGCAUAGGUAUGGAUUGUCAUAUAGAAACAUUUUUCGCAGUGUGCCCCGUGGAACACUUGUUCUGUAUGUUGUUAACAGAUGUUUUGCAAAAAAUGAAAAGGACCUGAGCUCUAAUAAGUUUGGGAAAUGCUGAAUUGAAGUGAAACAGCUUUUCUUGGUGUGAGACCUUUCAGAGUCUUUAAAGGAGAGUUGCUGACCACACGUGAAAUCACAAUAGAAAAUGGCCAGCAGGCCUCCAGGUAGGCAGCAAUUCCUAGACAUUUGCCUGUGUUCCCUGGGGGAGCUGGUGGCCUGUGACCAUCCACUGGGAAAUUCCCUUCUGUGGCGAGGUUCUGUUGUUUUCCAGAGGCUCCCACGGAGCAUGCUGGGUGGGUGGUCUGUAUGAGACCACACCGUUGAUGAGCAGUGAGGCCCAAACAGGUAUAUCAAAAAAUGCUCAGCAUCGCUGAUCAUCAGGGAAAUGCACAUCAUAAACACAGUGAGACGUUGCCUCACACCUGCCAGAAUGGCUACUGUCAGACGAAAGACAACAAGUGUGGGUGAGGAUGUGGAGAAAAGCGAACACUUGUCCACCUUUGGUGAGAAUGUAAAUUGGUAUAGCCAUUAUGGAAAACAGGAAGUUCCUGAAAAAAUUAAGAACAGCUACCAGGAAUCCCACAUCUGGGUGUAUAUCCAAAAGAAAUGAAGUCAGUACCUUGAAGAGAUCUCUGCAGCCCCUGUUCAUUGCAGCAUUAUUCACAAUAGCCAAGAUAGGGAAAAAGCCUCAGUGUCUACUGACAAAUAAAGAUGGAUCAAGAAAAUGCAUGUAUGUAUACACACACACAGUGGAAUACCAAGUCUUGCAGAAGAAGGAAAUCCUGUCAUUUGUGACAACAUGGAUGAGCUGAGAGAACAUUAUGCUAAGUGAAAUAAGCCAGACACAGAAAGAAAAAUACCAGAUGAUCUCACUUAUAUGUGGAAUCUAAAAAGGUUGGACUCAGAAGCAGAGAGUGGAAUGGUGGUUACCAAAGGCCAGAGGGUGCAGGAAGUGAGCAGAUGUUGGUGAAAGGGUGCAGAGGUUCAGCUAUGCAACAUGAAUGAAUUCUGGAGAUCCACUGUGCAGCAUGGUGACUAUGAUACUGCUUUGUGUAUUUAAAAUUUUCAGAGAGUAGAUCUUGUGUUCUUUCCCCUCUCCAAAUAAAAGGAAAUUAUUUGAGGUGAUGGAUAUGUUUAACUAGCUUGACUGGGGCAAUGAUUUUGUAAUGAUAAGUAUCUCAAAACAUCAUGUUGUACAACAUAAGUAUACAAUUGACCCUUGAACAAUACAGGUUUGAACUCUGUGGGUCCACUUACAUGCGGUUUUUUUUUUCUGUAAAAGUUACACCCGAUGCGUCAGCCCCUUCUUCUACCUCUUCCACCUCUGGCACCCUUGGCACAGCAAGACCAACCCCCCACUUCCUCCUCCUCCUCCUCAGCCUACUCAGGGUAAAGACAAGGAUGAAGACCUUUAUGAUGAUCCACUUCCACUUAAUAUAUAAUAAAUAUAUUUUCUCCUCAUGAUUUUCUUAAAACUUUUUCUGUAUUUUAUUGUAAGAAUACAGUAUAUAAUACAUACAACAUCGAAAA
rnacentral:lncRNA from 1 species